rnacentral:rRNA from 1 species
UGUGUAGGUGGUCGUAUUAGUCUUCUGCUAAAGACCGGGGCUCAACCCGGGAGUGCGGAGGAAACGGUACGACUAGAGGGUGAGAGAGGUGUACGGAACUCAUGGUGUAGGGGUGAAAUCCGUUGAUAUCAUGGGGAACACCAAAGGCGAAGGCAGUACACUGGCUCAUUCCUGACACUGAGACACGAAAGCGUGGGUAGCGAACG